rnacentral:misc_RNA from 1 species
AAGAUGGUCGCCUCUUCCUCCAACGUGGUCGGGCUGCCGCUUUAUGAAGCGACCACGCUGCUGGGCGGGGAAGGUUUCCCGGUCCGCUUCGGCUGGCUGAAUGCCAGUUGAUGGCAAAUCCGCGCCCCGCGCGAAGCCAUGCCCGAUCUGCGGCAAGCCGCAGGUCGAGGCCUCCAAGCCGUUCUGUUCGGAACGCUGCCGCGAUGUCGACCUGAAUCGCUGGCUGUCGGGGUCCUAUGCCAUCCCGGCGCGCGAGAGCGACGAGGACGACGAUAUGGACGAGCCGAAAUAAGGUCUUUCGGGCAUUUUCCGGCCGCGCCGAAGUCCUUGAAUUCGGGAGGAUUUCGAGCCGCCGCCGGG